rnacentral:rRNA from 1 species
UCUGGUUGAUCCUGCCAGUAGUGAUAUGCUUGUUUCAAAGAUUAAGCCAUGCAUGUCUAAGUAUAAGCGAACUUAUACAGUGAAGCUGCGGAUGGCUCAUUAAAACAGUUUGAAUUUAUUUGAUGAAUGUAUGAGAAUACUACUUGGAUAACCGUAGUAAUUCUAGAGCUAAUACAUGCAACGACGCCCGACCGUUUCACUACGGAAGGGCUGUAUUUAUUGGAUACCAAAACCAUCCUUCCCUCGGGAAGUUUUGUUUGAUGAUUCACAAUAACUGAUCGGAUCGCCACUGUGGUGGCGACAGGUCAUUCAACAUUCUGCCCUAUCAGCUUUCGAUGGUUGUGUAGUGGACAACCAUGGCCAUAACGGGUAACGGAGAAUCAGGGUUCGAUUCCGGAGAAGGAGCUUGAGAAUUGGCUACUACAUCUAAGGAAGGCAGCAGGCGCGCAAAUUACCCAAUCCCGAUUCGGGGAGGUAGUGACAAAAAAUAACAAUACCGGGCCUUUUUGGGCUUGGUAAUUGGAAUGAGGGAGAGUUAAACGGACCAUCGAGUAUCCAUUGGAGGGCAAGUCUGGUGCCAGCAGCUGCGGUAAUACCAGCUCCAAUAGCGUAUAUUAAAGUUGUUGCAGUUAAAAAGCUCGUAGUUGGACUUGUGUGCGCUGUCCGCGGGUGGCCUGCGCCCAAAAGGGCGUUUCGGUUCGGCCCCGGUGGCGCCUUGAAAUCUGCAGCUGGGGGGACGUUGGCCUUAACUGGUCGGCGACCGCACGCCGGCUGCUCGGUUACUGUGAGAAAAUUAGAGUGUUCAAGGCAGGCAUUGGGUGCAAUUGAAUACAUUAGCAUGGAAUAAUAAAAUAUGGCUCCUGCCGUAUUUUGUUGGUUUUGACUGGUGGGAGUAAUGAUUGAUAGGGACGGUUGGGGGUGCUAGUAUUGAGCAGCCAGAGGUGAAAUUCAUGGAUUCGCUCAAGACUAACUUAUGCGAAAGCAUUCACCAAGGACGUCCUCUUUAAUCAAGAACGAAAGUUGGGGGAUCGAAGACGAUCAGAUACCGUCGUAGUCUCAACCAUAAACUAUGUCGACUUGGGAUCGGCGGUAGUUUUUUCAUUAAGACACUGUCGGGACCACGGGAGAAAUCAAAGUGUCUGGACUCUGGGGGAAGUAUGGUCGCAAGGCUGAAACUUGAAGGAAUUGACGGAAGGGCACCACCAGGAGUGGAGCCU